CCAGACUGGGUCCUACAUAACAUUUAGCUGGGUUACUCUUCUGAGCCUCAGUUUCCUCAUCUGUAAAAUGAGAAUAACAGCAUUAGCCUCGUCUAUUUCCUAAGGACAGUUUGAGGCUCAGAAGAGAAAAGAGCAAUGAGUGUGCUUUGACAUUGUCCACCAAUAGAUACAUGUAAGGGAUUAUACUAGUCGACUGUAGUACUUCUUGACCAGGGCUCCCACCACAGCCUUCCACCUCUACUUCUAGAGUGUCAGGGGGAGAUCUGUGUCCCAGGAAAGGCAGGUCAAUCACACAACCAUUCACUUUGUAUUCAACCACCAUCUACAGAGAGCCUACUGUGUGCCGGGCACUGAGCAUAGCGAGAUGAAAAACCAGCCUGCCCGCAAGGACUCCAGAGGUCUACUGCAGCCCAUGAGAAGGACACACUUUGGAUCCUGUCUCCACGGUUUGAAACGAAGAAAAAGCAACUGCGCAAACAAGCUCAGACUAGCGGAGGAGACAAGCACGCAUCUGGCUGGGCUUGCAGGCUUCCUUUUGUGUCCCUGGUGAUGAGCUUCUUCAGCUCCCUUCCUCACUGCCUGUGAGCUCAGCAGCAGGCUUAGAGCUCUCCUGGGCCUUGAACAUUCUCCCUCUGCCAAUGUUUCCUAAUUCAAAGAUGACCCGACCUUUGGAAGAGGCGCAGAGCUCCUGAGGUGAGGUUUUGCCUUGACCAACGCAGUUGAAUGGAUUCACGUUCAAAAUAGGUGGGUUCCAAUC
rnacentral:lncRNA from 1 species